GUAUAUCUCUAAGCUUUAAUGAUUAAUAAUGUAGCCUUCACACAUUUAUUUUUGUAGAUUUUCAGAAGAAAAAAAAAAAAGUCCAGCUAACAAAAUCCCUCGAAGAGAAUAUCCUGUUGUACACUGAGGUGCCCUGGCUGUCAGUGCUUAGAAGCUGACCAAAGCGGAGCUGCCCACCUGUGCCACAUUUCUGUUGCCAGCAGAACGUGAACCACUAUGAAAUGAUACAUGGUUCAAGAAGAAACCUCACUGGCACUAAGCCCCCUGAGGAUGCCUCUGCCUUGCUGUCUCAGUGUCCCAAGUCAUGAAGUGGCUCGCAGUGGCCCAGUUGGCCCAGUUUCAAAAUGUCUUAGGUAUCUGCCUUUUUUUGGUACUUCUCUCUCCUAUUACACUAUGUAGAAAGUCCAUCUGCUGAACUCGGGGUUCUUGUUACAGGGAAGAACAUGAGGAACUGGCUAAGCACUGCUGAACGCUAAUCUCCAUUUUCCACUCUCGUCUGCAUCAUCUACAGUCCAAAGGUCAACCAGAUAGGCCUUUUGUGAUGAGGAUGCUUUGAACCGGGAUGAAGAGGUUUCAUUCACAGCCAGGGAGGUAUAAAAUCAAAAAACAAGAAAACAAUCCCAAACCACCCAGAGAUGAACAUUGCAGGGUUCAAAAGCUGCCUCUGCCUUGACUGAAAUAAUGAUGGUGAACAGGAACAAGCUCUUCUUAUUGCUGAGGUACUAUAAAACCUUCUGGAAGCUGAAGGAUAACUGACCUGGCGAUGCUUGGGCCAUAGAUCUGGUCCUUGAUAAAGCACCACAUGGUGGCAUGAUCCACUCCUGCACGCCCUCAGUGACUGAUGGGUUCAAGUGGUUCAGACAGAAGAAGUGAGGGCACGCAUUCAAGUGAACACAAAGAUAGCAAAGCACAAUAUAGCUUUCACUUUCCCCCAGUUAUCUUCAGCUGGUGGGUGCUGAGGGAGGUCCUGGCUCAGAGGGUGUCUCUUCUAUUGCAUGUGUUCAACUCCACCACAGCACAGAAUCUCCUGUCUGGCUCCCAGCUCUGCAAACACCACCCUCCAACUGUUGCCAUGCAAUGAGCUGGCAGUAGCCAUCAUCAUAACAAGUCUGCCCCCAGAUCCACUUGGGAAACACAACUCUCUUGAGCACGCUUCAUAUCAAUAUUUAUUGCCUUCAUAUAUUUAACCUUAACAUUCAUAAUAUUUCAAUCAGAUCUGACAGCACUAAUGAUGAAAACAGCCUUAAAUGCUAUCAUUAUUUAUUGCUGCGUUACUACUAGGCAGGUAGCUCAAUGGGUUUGACAAACUGCUUGCAUAACACGUAGCUUUCAGUUAAAAUGCUGAAUGACUAAGAAUUUUAUUUUAAACGACUGCCAUAAAACGUCACUGAAAAUGCCCUGAAGAUGACAAUCAGAACAUAUUUUCUUCCUAAAAUAAUUUAGUCAUCAAAGAGGCAAGUUUACCUUAUAUGAAUGUGGAAGCAUUUAAUGGAAAUACAUGUAUACAUAUAUUUUAAUUGAGAUGAUAUUUUGAAGUUUUUUUUUUCCUGUUUUUUUUUUUCCAAACCCAAACUCUGAAACACGACUAAUCUUGGCUGUGUUGUUAAGGAAAAAAAAAAAGAAGCAAUCAAUGCACACUGUAAGCCCAGAAAACCACGUCAAUUAAUAACAACAUGGACUACAAAGAGCAAAUUGUGUUUUACCGUUGCAUUGAGCUUGCUGGGACUUGCCACAGUGCUACACUGAAACUGCCUCCAUCUUCAUCUCUUGGGUCACCACUUGAUAUCACUCCUGCAUGUUUUCUAGGUAGACCUAUUAUUCUUACAGCGCCAGCUCCAAAGAGUUAGCCAUCACGCCCUAGCCCUUACCUGGGUGAGAACAAAAGGCCUGAAUAUAGCAAAGAGGGGGAAUCAUAAUAAUAAAGACAAUGAUAACGAAAGCGAAGAGUUCUAGUUCGCUCUGCCGCUGCGCUGAGCACCGACAGCGCUCAGGGGCAGGACAAGCUCUACAGAACGCUUUCCAGAGCCUUUCAUGCGGGCAGCACGGGCCCUGUCACAGCCCCGCUGCGGGGGCCACCUGUGUGCCACCUCCCAUCAGCAUCACUCGUGCCGGCAGCGCGGGGGAACGCGGCCCGCCGUGCGAGCGGGAUUAGCCCCCGCGGAACGACGUUACCCCCGCGCGGACGCCGGCAGCGGGAUUAGCGUUCAAGGCCGGGCUUCUCCCGGGUUAUUUUCG
ensembl:lncRNA